rnacentral:lncRNA from 1 species
AGUGUCAGGCUCCUGGGGCAGGGUGUGAACGGCAUCCGCAAGGCAAAGCAAAGUCAUCUGGCACUGAUUUCUUCCACUUCUGAAUUCCUGGCUUGGAAUUUGGGUCUCCUACAAUUUCACGCUGUUUUGAUGUAAGGAAGCUUGUGUCUGAACCAGACAGGUAUUUACAUGGUGCCCCGUGUCACUCCUUUGCGUGGGCCCUGGAGCCCAGCCACAGGAAUCCCUCCGAGGCACAGUGCUUUUUUGGCCCUUGGUGGUCCGUGAGGGUCUCCUCUUCUCCCUGUGUCUCUCCUCUGUGUCUCCUCUAAGGACACAUGCUUGCAUUUAGGGUCUACCUGGAUAAUCCAGGAUGCUCUCAUCUUGAGAUUAUUAAAUUAACUACACCUGCACGGACUCUUUUUUCAAAUAAGGUCACGUUCACAGGUUCUGAGAUGUAGACACAUCUUUUUUUGCGGGGUGAGAGGGUCGUAAUUCAACCCACUCCAAGUGUGUUCUCCACAUGCAGACUUGGACUCCAGGUGUUGUCCGGCCUCUGCUCGGAGCUGCAAGCUCAGUGCCCCCUCUCCCACUCCCCGGCCACUCUCCUGUUCAGUGUCUUCACUGCAGCUGCACAGAACGGCUGGCCCCUGCGUGUUUCUGCUCCAUGCCAGGCCUUUCCCCCCUCGGCCUGGAGCUCUCUGUCCGCCCCCGGGAUCCUGCAGUCUGCUCCGUCACUGCUUCAGGUCUUUGCUCCCGUGUUACCUUCUCAGUGAGACUUUCCCCAAGCGCUGAACACUGUACAUCCUGCAGCCCCAACCCCGGGUCCUCACCUCCCUCCUUCCCUCGCCCUCGGUGCACGGUGUGUGUUUAUGUCUGCCCCCCUCGCUGAAGCCUGAGCACUGUGAGCGUGGGACGUUUUGUCCGUUCUGUCCACUGCUGUAGUCCGAGAUUCUAGACCGUGCCGGGCCCACAGUGGGUGCUCAGGAAGCACAUGUCGACUGAGGAAUGCGUGGGGCUGGGAAGGAAGGUAGAGUCGGG